rnacentral:lncRNA from 1 species
AUGGCCGCGGUCUGGCGACCGCCACCCUGCUAUCCCUUCACAAGGCGCCUGGCUCUCCUCUCUCCCUCACCCCAGGCUGGGACCCUCUCCAAAGCCUCAGUUAGGUCUCCCGCCUUGCAGGCCUAUUCUUUACCAGCUGAGCCAGCAGGGAAGCCCCAAAGGGUCACACUAGGGAGUCGAGUGUCUGGGCCAACCUCCGGUGGUCCUGUAACCCUCCAGGUGUGGUCUGGAUGCAGAAAGCCUCUGAGGACAGCUGGCUUGGGAAUGCUGGCUUCCAGGCCGUCAGACAAUCUUCUUCGUGCAGGACUGCCCAGAGCCUUUAGCGUCCCGACCUGGCUGGGAGCCGCUGAGACUCGGAGCCCCCGUGUUCCUGCCGGCGGAGCGCCAGGCUUCCCGGGCGCUGAGAACUCUCUGGGCGUGGGGGAAGGCUCACGUUUCCCCGUGGGGGCCUCCCCCUCCUCCUCCCUGCCUUUUCUCCUCCAUCGUAGCCUUCCGACCUCACCCUGCAGCCCCUGCCCACACUUGCCCCUCCUCCGGCCCGGCUCCGUAGCCGUCCCCAGCCUCCCCAGCUCUCUGGGUGCCCCCCUCAUUGACCAGCCUCCUGUGGUCAGCGUGGGGCGGCGGGGAGCAGCGGGUCACUGGACUGCGGGGAGGGGACUCAUGCCUGCUCCCCCGUCCCCAGGCCAGUUCCUCAGAGGCACCCUCCCAGGCCGCUUCGCCGGGCGGUCGGGCGCGACGUCGGGUCUGCCGACCUCCCUUGCUCCGAGGUGGCCUUUGGGUGCUGGGCAGGUGGGCCACAGUGGGCUGCUGGAGCCUGGCUGGGAGCGGCCAGCCCCUGCCUGGGAGCCGUCAGGAUGGAGUCGCAGCACCCGGCAGGCUGGCUGGUGCCCCCAAGGCUCGGCUGGGCCCUGUGCUGCUGGCGUCCGUGGCUGGGGUGCUCUGGGCCUCUUCCCUUGCCCUGGUGGCACAGAAGGCCCAGGGCUUCACUGCGUGAACCCGCCGGACCGUCCCGGUGGAACUGGCCUCCUGGAAUGA